GCACUUUCGUCGGCAGCACAUAUACUAAAAUUUGAACAAUACAGAGAAGAUUACCAUGGCCCCUGCGCAAAGAUGACACGCAAAUUCUUGAAGCAUUCCAUAUUUUU
ensembl:snRNA U6 U6 spliceosomal RNA